UACAGAGGUCUCAAGCGUUGUUCGGAUUCAUUGGGCGUAAAGGGUGUGUAGGUGGCGCCGUAAGUCGGGUGUGAAAUUUCGGAGCUUAACUCCGAAACUGCAUUCGAUACUGCCGUGCUUGAGGACUGGAGAGGAGACUGGAAUUUACGGUGUAGCGGUGAAAUGCGUAGAUAUCGGGAGGAACACCAGUGGCGAAGGCGACUUCUUGGCCUGUUCUUGACGCUGAGGCGCGAAAGCUGGGGGAGCAAACGGGG
rnacentral:rRNA from 1 species